GAUGAAGAACGUAGCGAAAUGCGAUAAGUAAUGUGAAUUGCAGAAUUCAAUGAAUCAUCGAAUCUUUGAACGCACAUUGCGCCCGCCAGUAUUCUGGCGGGCAUGCCUGUCUGAGCGUCAUUUCAACCCUCAUGCCCCUAGGGCGUGGUGUUGGGGAUCGGCCAAAGCCCGCGAGGGACGGCCGGCCCCUAAAUCUAGUGGCGGACCCGUCGUGGCCUCCUCUGCGAAGUAGUGAUAUUCCGCAUCGGAGAGCGAUGAGCCCCUGCCGUUAAACCCCCAACUUUCCAAGGUUGACCUCAGAUCAGGUAGGAAUACCCGCUGAACUUAAGCAUAUCAAUAAGCGGAGGA
rnacentral:misc_RNA from 1 species